UCACGUAAACUUCACCAAAACCUGGAGCAGAAUCUGCCGGAGCUGCUGAUGAAGCUGAUUUAUGCCGCAGUGAGUCUGUUCGCCAUGACACCAGCAGCAGGUUCUGGAAUAUGACUCAAUUAAACCAGCAGGUGUUUCUGUUUGUCUUCCUUAGCAACCGUUACCAAGGAGAGGAGAGGGAAAAUCUGGCCUGAAAGCGGUUCGAUCCCGCCAACGGCUCUGGGUCGGCUCGGUUCGUCCUCCGGAUCCACACAGGGAGGACGGACAGCUACCAGGGAUAAAAAAGAGCAAACCAGGCGGAACCGGCUCUUCGGUCCAAACGGACCUGAGGGACGGAAAAACGUCUCCGACAGAGGAGAAGAAAAGUCACAUUAAAUUUAAAUAUUAAACACAGAAACGAAACCCAACCUUUGACCUUUGACCUUUSAUCGCCACCGACUCUCUUAAAGCAGAUUUUAUUCACUCAGAUUUAAGACGUUUAGAGACUAUUAUGAAUUAAAUUUAAGACGUAUAUAAUGUUCUCCUGCCUCAGGUUGGCGAAGACGAACGUCGUCCAGAAAACUGCCGAUAAAUUUCCACGUACUCAUGACAGACGCGACAAACUAGCUGGCUAGUUAGCAAGGGUAGCUAGUUAGCAUUAGCCUUGAAUUACAGAACGCAACAAAGACGUCAGCAACUUUUACUUGACAGAAAAAACAUAAAAACCUACGUAGAAUAUAAAAGAAUAAAUAAAAACGCACCUUUUUCCAGCUUCCUGCCGUUGCUGCCCCUAGUGGUCUGGAGUGGUUUUUGAUCGCAACAUUUUCCUCUUGCGUUUCUUUUUGUGUGUUUCGGAGUUUCGUCGUUUGCGAAGCGUUUUCGCCUUUGCUGGCCACCGUAGUUUAAAGAAACAAUAAAGCAGGAGGCAUCAGGAAGCUGAAAUGACAAGAUGGAGGAUCCAGCAGAGAUCAAGGAGGAGGAAUGAAAAACAUGCAGGAAAAGACGAGAUGGAUCGCUUUACCUGAGAAAAGGAAAACAUACUUUACAUGAACACUGAGGAAAUAAGAGGCUGAGCAUAAAAAACAGAGAAAAGACAAGAAAAAGGUCAAAUAAGCCAAAUAAAGUCCAGUUGAAGAGAGGAGGUCCGAAUGACGUCAGAGGGACGAUCACGACCUUCAGGAGGCGGUUUGUGUUUCUAUAAAUAUCUGUAAAAAUGAGACCAGAGAACAGACAGAAAAUGAAGAUUAAAAUGUUUCAUUUCCUCAUAAAAGGAUUUUAACUGCUAAAACCAGAGGCGCUACGGCGCCCCCUGCAGGGAGGCGCAGAAAUUACUUUAUAUUAAUACAAAACCUUUCAUUUAAUUUUCAACAAAAUACAUUUAAAUAUGAGAAAAACAACUAUAAAUCGAGAAGAAGAGAACCACAGCAGCGCCAAUUACACACUGACACCUAGUGGCCGUCUGAGGUUCUACAUCUGGGAAUGUCUGGAAGAACCAGAAACUGUCCCGUUUCCUGGAAGGAGUUCAGGAAAACUUGGAGCCCGUGAAAAGAAAAAAGUCCGGCCUGCAGCCUGAAUCGUCACCUGCCUCCACAGAGCCGAGGAGUUUGGUCAGAAAGCCAAACACCUGCAGUCCAG